ensembl:snRNA U2 U2 spliceosomal RNA
GGACCAUAUAUUAAAUUGAUUUUUGGAGCAGGGACAUGGAAUAGGGGCUUGCUCCGUCCACUCCACGCAUCGACCUGGUAUUGCAGUAUUUCUAGGAACGGUGC